AUUGAACGCUGGCGGCAGGCCUAACACAUGCAAGUCGAACGGUAACAGGAAACAGCUUGCUGUUUCGCUGACGAGUGGCGGACGGGUGAGUAAUGUCUGGGAAACUGCCUGAUGGAGGGGGAUAACUACUGGAAACGGUAGCUAAUACCGCAUAACGUCGCAAGACCAAAGAGGGGGACCUUCGUGCCUCUUGCCAUCGGAUGUGCCCAGAUGGGAUUAGCUAGUAGGUGGGGUAACGGCUCACCUAGGCGACGAUCCCUAGCUGGUCUGAGAGGAGGACCAGCCACACUGGAACUGAGACACGGUCCAGACUCCUACGGGAGGCAGCAGUGGGGAAUAUUGCACAAUGGGCGCAAGCCUGAUGCAGCCAGGCCGCGUGUAUGAAGAAGGCCUUCGGGUUGUAAAGUACUUUCAGCGGGGAUGAAGGGAGUAAAGUUAAUACCUUGGCUGAUUGACGUUACCCGCAGAAGAAGCACCGGCUAACUCCGUG
rnacentral:rRNA from 1 species